rnacentral:rRNA from 1 species
UACAGAGGUCUCAAGCGUUGUUCGGAUUCAUUGGGCGUAAAGGGUGUGUAGGUGGCGCCGUAAGUCGGGUGUGAAAUUUCGGAGCUUAACUCCGAAACUGCAUUCGAUACUGCGGUGCUUGAGGACUGGAGAGGAGACUGGAAUUCAUGGUGUAGCAGUGAAAUGCGUAGAGAUCGUAAGGAAGACCAGUGGCGAAGGCGGGUCUCUGGACAGUUCCUGACACUGAGGCACGAAGGCCAGGGGAGCAAACGGG